rnacentral:piRNA from 1 species
UUAGGAUGCAAAUCAAAAUACCCAGAGA